UACGGGGGGAGCAAGCGUUGUUCGGAUUUACUGGGCGUAAAGGGCGCGUAGGCGGCCUCUGCAAGUCGACUGUGAAAUCUCCGGGCUUAACCCGGAAAGGUCAGCCGAUACUGCAGGGCUAGAGUGCAGAAGGGGCAACCGGAAUUCUCGGUGUAGCGGUGAAAUGCGUAGAUAUCGAGAGGAACACCUGCGGCGAAGGCGGGUUGCUGGGCUGACACUGACGCUGAGGCGCGAAAGCUAGGGGAGCAAACGGG
rnacentral:rRNA from 1 species